rnacentral:rRNA from 1 species
GACGAACGCUGGCGGCGUGCUUAACACAUGCAAGUCGAACGGAAAGGCCCUGCUUUUGUGGGGUGCUCGAGUGGCGAACGGGUGAGUAACACGUGAGUAACCUGCCCUUGACUUUGGGAUAACUUCAGGAAACUGGGGCUAAUACCGGAUAGGAGCUCCUGCUGCAUGGUGGGGGUUGGAAAGUUUCGGCGGUUGGGGAUGGACUCGCGGCUUAUCAGCUUGUUGGUGGGGUAGUGGCUUACCAAGGCUUUGACGGGUAGCCGGCCUGAGAGGGUGACCGGCCACAUUGGGACUGAGGUACGGCCCAGACUCCUACGGGAGGCAGCAGUGGGGAAUAUUGCACAAUGGGCGGAAGCCUGAUGCAGCAACGCCGCGUGCGGGAUGACGGCCUUCGGGUUAUAAACCGCUUUCGCCUGUGACGAAGCGUGAGUGACGGUAAUGGGUAAAGAAGCACCGGCUAACUACGUG